CUCUUGGGGACGUUGUAAGCCGGCCUCCUUGUCCAUGGCCGAAGGCUCCCCCAUCCCCUUGCUUCCUUAGUGCAAGUUGUGUUUAUCUACUUAGUUGAAAGGCACAGGGAGAGGAGAGAAAGAUGGUGUGGGAGAGGGAGAGAAAGCACCUGACGGAUCUUCCAUCUGUUGGUUCCCUCCCCAAAUGCCCACAACGGCCAGGAAUGGCCCAGGCCGAAACCAGGAGCCAGGAGCUCGGAGCGGCAUCCGGUUCCCCUUUGUGGGUGGCAGGGACCCAAGCCCUUGGGCCGUCCUCUGUUGCCUCCCAGGCUACGUAGUAGAGGAAGCUGGUUGAGAAGUGGGAGUGGGACUGAUCCCGGUCGCUUCCCUGGUGCAGGAUGUGGGCGCCCCGAUCAGUGGCUUACCCUGCUGCACCACCAUACCCACUCCUUUCUCUCUAUCUCUAAGAUUCAGAGCUAGGCUUUCAAUUUCUGUGCACGGUUGAGCUCUUCCUGUCUUCUGUGUGAGGAUGUGGAAGAUAGUGACAGUUGUCAUGCAGAUAGGAUCUCUAAAAAGACUGAGAUUCCUCUCCGUGUCAAGGUCAAAGUCUUCACGGCUCAGUGGCCCUUGUGCAGGACUCUGGUCACCUGAUGGAGGAGAUGAGCACGUGGGCUCCUGCUCACUGGGCCCUUAGCUCCCUGGCCCUCUAUGUGGCUUGGUCAGGGCUGCGUAUCUGUGCUGUCCGUUCAAAAGCAGGUCUGUUUCCUGGGUGGCCCAGUGAGGGUGAUGUGGCAGGGGCUUCUGAACCUGGAGAACAGCGUGUGGGGUGGGUGAGUGGAUGGGGGGUUGCUCUCUCCACCCUGGGGGUCCUGUGGACGAACGGCUGGCGUGGUGGUGUGUGGGCCGCAACAGUUAGGGCUGUCUUUUGGAGAGCAUGUUGUGAGGCUCCUGGUGUGGUGCUGUAGCCAGCCGACUGUGGGGAAGCAUGGGGGUGUGUUGGCAGCUGAGCCCCCAGGGGACACACACAGCUAGAGUCGAGUGAGGGUGGUGCUCGGGCCACCCCGCACCCCAGGCUCAGCAGUGCUCUGCUUGCAUAGGUGCAACUGGUUGGGUGCUUACCGAUUUUCCGAAGUCCCCAGCCACGUCACUGCCAAACCUGCAGUCUGGUUACCUUCCAAGUAGGUCAGACUGUCCUUUACUACCCACGCGGCCUGGAUUCCUGGUUCUGUGUCUCAGGAAUCCAUCCCGGUUCUGCCUGGCCACUCUGUCCAGGCUUUGUAAGAGUGUAUAUGAGGAUACCUCCUCUGUGGGUGAGAGCGGCUUCUGGAGCCUGCCUAACUCUGAGGACCUAGGAAGGGCUCAGAGUCGAGCUGCCGGGGUCCCCUGCUGGGGCUGUCUCCCAGGGCCUGCCUUUGGGACGUCCUUGUAUUGCUCAGGGGCUCACCUGCUCCUCAGGGGUAACCAUCACAGCACCCUCAUUUUUAUUUUUUUUAAGAUUUUUAUUUAUUUAUUUGAGAGGCCCCCAAGAAUGAUGCAUCUUUUGCAAGCACUUAGAUGCAACUAUAACUUAGGAGACGUAAGAAUAUCCUCCACAUAAUACAUUAGGAGAAAGUAAGUCCUUGAGAGCAAGUUUUAUCAUUAAUUAAGGAAGCACCUUAGAAAGCAAGGAAUGGGGUUGGAUACUUAGGCACAGCUAAAACUUACGAGACAUAAGAAUAUCUUCCACCUAAUUCCAUAAAAUGAAAUAAAUCUUUGAGACCAAGUUUUACCGCUGUUUCCUAAUACAACUCUUUGAGAGAAGUUAGUGCACAGUGACUCCUGUUGUUAAUUUAACAAUUAACACUCUUAUGUAUGACAUAAGCGAUCACUCGAGGCUCUUGACAUGAGCUGCCUAGGCUGUGGAGGCCUUUUGAAUCCACAAACUGUCAGUGUUUAGACAAGGCCAUAAGCAGAGAAAAGUACCUCCUUUUUUGGUGGCCGCUUCUUUCCACUGGGUCUCACCCACAGAGGCCCUCCAGGUGGGACGUAUCCGCCACAGAGUCUUGGCUUUUUAUGUUGGGCUUAUUUUGGUCAUCGCGGUGUGGAUUAGGAGCACCUUGUGAUCUCUGAGCUGGGCAGCAGUUACUAGGCUGGGGCCCUGGCCUCCCGGGCCGAGGGACUUCCCCCACAGACCAGGAUGGGCCUCCUGGGCCGAUGGACUUCCCCCACAGACCGGGAUGGAGUGUUUCCUUGAGUCUGCAGGAGGGACCAGAGGCGGCAAGAAAAGCAGCCAGUCGAGGGAUGGACAUGACCUUGCCACAUGUCCACUUCACAGUGUUGUCAGCAGCAGGUGCAGCUUUUCAAGGUGCUUUCUGCCCCUCUGGGCGGAAGGCACGGGCAGACUGUGGUCACCUGUGGCGGGUGGAGUGGCCUGGGCCCAGGGAGUCCUGCCCCUUCCGUGUGGGUCCUGAAUGGUCUCCCGGGGCUGGCUGUUGGGGACCUGCCUGUCGAGGCUGGCAGAGAUGGCAGUGGCCCGCCCUUGCUGUUGCUGGAGCUCAGCCGGACCUGCCCGCCUGGGGUCUUCUCGCUUCCAGGAGCGAGCUGGCCACUGCUGCUUCAGAAGUGCCUGUGGCCGCCACUGUCUGCGUGGCAGGUACUCCUGGUGCCGAUUCCUGACCCGCGAGUUGCCAAGCAUUGUGGGCACUUGGCCAGGAGAAGUUCUCCUCCCUCGCACCUGCUACCACUCACACCCGUGCUCUCCUCCAAUCAGCAGCUCCUAGGGAGCCCCUAACCGCGUGUUCCUGGGCAGGGCCUCCACCCUGUCUUAGACCAGAUGUGUGCUGGGAGCAGCCUCCCUGGCCUCCACCUGCUCCGUGCUCAUGCGCCCUCAAGUGGCGAUCCCAGAAGAAUGGGAGGUCAGAAGCCUGGGAGGGGCUGGAGAGGCGCCUCAGCUGCUCCCCCGCCUCCUCACCCCGACUCCGGAAAUGGAUAGGACCAGGGCCGUGCAGCCUCCUCUUGGCCCUGUCAUUUCCCGGGGCAGCUGGGCCCCAUCACUGAGUGUGAUGCUCUGUGCACUGUCUGCCCCGCACACCUGUGUGGGCUCGGGGCAGGCUGAUGUCUGGCCCCCUCGAGCAAGGAGGGGGCAGGCGGUGGUGACCCGUGCACAGCAGGGCACCCGGGGCAGGCGGUGGCCCGUGCACAGCAGGGCACCCGGGGCAGGCGGCGGCCCGUGCACAGCAGGGCACCCGGGGCAGGCGGCCCGUGCACAGCAGGGCACCCGGGGCAGGUGGUGGCCCGUGCACAGCAGGGCACCCGGGGCAGGCGGUGGCCCGUGCACAGCAGGGCACCCGGGGCAGGCGGUGGCCCGUGCACAGCAGGGCACCCGGGGCAGGCGGUGGCCCGUGCACAGCAGGGCACCCGGGGCAGGUGGCCCGUGCACAGCAGGGCACCCGGGGCAGGCGGUGGCCCGUGCACAGCAGGGCACCCGGGGCAGGCGGCCCUGCAGGCGUCGUGCCCGCUGGCUCCACCUGUGCUCCCAGAGCUACUUGGACGCCCGUCCUGGGACAGCACUGCACCCCAGCUCGGUGGCAGUCAGGGUGUCCAUCUGCACGCAGCAGCUGCUUGGGCUCUAGAGCCAGGAUGACCAGGGCGAGGGAGGCAGCCCCACAGGUGGCCGUGGCGUGGAACGUUGCUCCGGACCUGUGAUUGGCUGUUCUGCUUCGGGUGCCGUACAGCAGUCCUGGUUUUUGAGCGGUUCCUGUUCCCUGUGUAAGGAGUCUGGAAAACGAAUGUGCCUGGUCUGCUUCCCUGGCCUGGGGGGAGGCUGUGGCCUCGCCCGGCCAGGCGCAUUGGGGGUGGCGGGGAGGCCAGAGGCUCCUUUGCUAGAGCACGGCCCCCCUUCCUCUCCAC